AUGGGAGUGAGGGUGUGUGUGGGAGGUCCUCCCAUACACACACACCCUCACUCUCUCACACACCCAACCUCCCACCUUUAAUGUGUGUGGAUGGGACUAAGGUUUUCUCAUUUCUUUCAGAUUGUGCGCCUCCGAGGUGAACGUCUGACUGAAGUGAACGUGUGGCUGGUCGAGAACUCCUCCAAACAGGUAAAGUACUUAUGACAAUAUAUAAUGUCUAUAUGCAAGUAUUUAUGAAUGUUAUGUUUUAAAGUUUUUUGUAUUCCAGGUUUGUUUGUGUGGCUGACUGGACCUACUACAAGGUGCUUCUUGCAGGUAAUAAAGAUACAUCAGUGAUGGUGAGGCCGUCACAUUACCAGCGGUUGUGGAUUUCUCAAUUCAACCUUUAUAUUGCAGACUCCACAUAAGGUAAAACACUUCCAUUCAGCAAUUGGUGUGCAGUGUCCAGAUUGUCAACAUUUAGUUCAGUAUGAUGUUACUUCUGGCCAGCUUAACCUGAGGAGAAAGUCAGUACAGUACACGAUUAGAUUUUGAAAAGGAAACUGCAAAAUCUCAUGGUGUUGUCCCGACCUCCGUAAAGUGUCAUUAAUGCAAGAACGAAUGUAAGUGUCGUCAAGACCAACACAUGUGGUAACUCCAACGAGAACCAGGUCAAUAAGCAUUGGCUACUUUAAGAAAAUGACUGCCCAAGGAUGAAUUUAUAUAUAACCAAGAAGAGUUACCUAACUAAGGUACAAGAUGCUAACUGAACAAUAUAUUAAACAUGAUAUUAUAUACAGUUAAGAGGUGUUAAAGUUCAUCUGCCCCAUAACACCAGGUACUAUAUAUGAACCCUAACCAUUAUUUACCAGACAAUGGUACCAUAUAUCUGUAAGUGAUGAAAGAAUAUAUUUAAAACAUGAAUCAAAACUUCCAACCAUUUUAGUCAAGAUAAAACAUCAAAAUAUCUCGUCAGAGUUGAGCAUAACUUAUCCAAUUUUUACGUACAAAGUUCAAGAGAGAUUGAAGAGUUUCCGUGAGAUAAUGACAACACCUUGACUAUAACAAAUGGUCUACCAUCACUGUACUACUUUACUAAGAUGAUUUACUACCCGUGUUAAUGUACGUACUUGUGAUAAAACUUACGUCACGUGUAAAUAAAGACAGACGAACACAGUUGACACAACUACUGAUGCACAAAUUAUAGUAAAUGAGAGUUCAUCAAUGUUCAACACAACUUAUCCAGUAAAGAUGAAAUUUUAAAGACAUAGAUGAUAAGUUUAACCUUUGCUUACUACUGUACUGUAAACAACAUUAUUAUUAUGAGUGAUAUUUAACCAACACCAAAUGUCUACACUAAGGCCAUGGUAGAAGAAAUUUACAUCUUACGAGCAGAUAAUUAUAACUUGUGCUUAAUAUCUAUAAAAGUGGCAUUUGUCACUUAUCUUUAUUUCUGGUACAUUCAUAGAGUUUGUUCAAGUGGUUUUAUAUUGAUGUAUAUCACUGUAUUCAAGUUUAUGUGUCACAUUUACCUUCUGUUAAAGUCAUUCAAACAUUUA